CAACUAUUUCUAGAGAGUUGAACCUAAUAUUGACUCCUCUUCAGAUAACCAGCCCUGUCUUAACAUAUCUUAGUGAUUGUACAGAUGCUGAUUUAUCCGUCAUUAAUAAUAGAAAAGAUGGCAGAAAACUGCCCGCCAUUAAUAAACAAAUACAUAAUAAACCUUAGAAGAACAUGAUAGGCUUGAUAAACCCCCAAUUAGACAAAAUAUUUUUUUGAUGAUAGCCUCCCAACUACUAGAGAUAUGCAUUAUUGACCCAUCUACAGUAUAACCCAACCUUAAUCCCUCACAUUGCUACAAAACAUGAUGAAUUUAUUAUUAAAGAUAAGCUAAGAAAAAAAUAGCCACUCAACAAACGCUCUACCCGUUCUAGAGUUACUGAUAGCCAAUACGGAGCUGAGCCUGAUAUUAACUCCCUUGCAGUUGCCCACAAAUGAUAUUUCUAUCACCACUACCACAAUUCCUAUGCCGCUUCAACCAUGCAUAUUUCAACAUAUAUUUGAUGACCACCACUAACAUAUGUUAGAUAUCGGAAACAUACCAGAAAUAUGCGCCUUCUGCAAUGCUAAAAUGUCGAAUGGUAAAAAUUACAGAAAAGCUCAAAUAAAAAAAUUCAAUUUUCUACAUGUUGCAUGAAUGGGAAUCUAAAUUUUCCCCUUCUCCUCCAAAUUUAAUACGUUUAUUUAACAGGGAGCAUUGUUUAUCAGCCUACUUUUAACAAAUAUAAAAGCAUUUAAUUCUGCACUAUCAUUCACUUUACUAGGAGUUAAUAUAAAUAAUACUUUAUCCAAUUCUCGCUUCCAUAAUUAUUCAUGUUAAAUUAAGUGACAGGUUCACCAUCGCAUUAGUUCCCUCCUGCCAACAUUAAGGGUCACACCUAAAUUUGCCCAAAUAUAUUUAAAUAUAUGAUAGUAAAAAUGAGAUACAAAAAAGACAUAAUCAAGUUCAUUUUUUGGAUCGUCAUCUUUUAAUAGAAUUGCAGUAAAUUAUUGGUAGUUAUUACCCCUUUACUUCUCAAUUUAUGAGAGUAGCUUCGAUGAUCACUAAUGACUUUCCUAACAUAUUAUUAAACCUAAAAUCUACACCAAGCUUUCAUAUACGUUAUCGCAAUAAUCGUACCU